rnacentral:lncRNA from 1 species
CAGAGAAGGAAGUUCAAAGCACUGACUGAACAAUGCCUCUCACCUCAGUAAGGAUGCUGUAGUAAGAACAACACAUUUUCCUUUCUGGUCACGUAUCCUUCAUGACAUGUCACUGCAAGGCAUCUGUCAGAAGAUUUUUUUUGUUGCUGUUGUGUCCUGUAUCUUGAUAAUACCAGUCUUGAGAGCACCCAAUCUUCUUGAUGGACAUUCUGCAGAUUCUUUGUGGGAUCUCCUUCUACUGGAUAUUGUUGUCCUCUGGAGAAAGUGUGUAUCGCAGCUUGCCAGAGCUACCAUUGGGUCACACAACACCAGGCAAGUCUAAAUAUGGAUUGUAUAGCAACAAAGGAUAGAGCUCUUGAUUACAAUCUUGGAAGCAGUUACAAGCGCAGCAAAAAAAUCCCCAAA